CUAGAAAGUGUUGUUGAAGCAAAGAUGGAUUGUUGUACAUGAACCAAAGAUAACAUAGAAAGGAAAAAUGUACCAAUCCUGUUUCGGGCAUGGCAUGAGCCAGCUACCCAAUCAGGUCUGUGCAGGCUCUCUCACAGGCGAAUGGCAUGGAACGUUGGCCCCGCCUUGCAUUCCCACUGAACUGCUGUUGCCCAUAAUGAUUUUAUAAACAUUUUGCCAGCAGAUCAAUACAUGUAUUGAUCAGGCAUUGUGAGAGUAAUCCGUCUAAACCCCAGAACAGCCUGGAGCUCAGAGGUGGGAGGAGCAAAAGAGAGAGGCUGCAUAGAGGAUGGAGAAGUAGAGCGAGUCUGUAGCCACAGUAAAAGGGAGAAGAGGUGCAAGGUUGGAAGAGACUGAGAGAGGCGGACGCAGGGAUGGAGGCAGGUGAGGAGAGAGAUUGCUGGAAAUGCUGCCAGGCCGCUGGGGCUGAGGAAAACAAAUGACAGACGCUGCGAAAGAAGACGCUGAAAAAAAAGAGUUUGAAUGAAAACUACUUCUCAAAAAUCUGUUGCUGCAAGAAGGUUUAGAACAUAUUUCAUUCAAAGUGUUUAGUAUAUAUAAGAAAACUUCUUUUCACCACCACUAUGGAUGAAGAACUGCACAAAUGAACUGAGUGUAAAGUCAAUAUUAUUGCUAAAAGACAAACGUGACAACAUGAGGACAUCCUUCAGUGUAGAGGAUUGCUGCUCUUUUGUACAAAUGGAGAAAUUACUGGCCUAUGGAAUGGUUUUUACCCACUGGGAAUUCACAGAAUUGGAUUUAAUUGUUUUACAUUUUAAAUUAAGUAGGAGAUUUACUCAAGCAAGGACUCAGUGGAUGAGUCAUUGCUUGGUUCAAGGCCACAAUCUGCCCCUGGAUGGAGGACAAGUCAACAGCUUUUGGCAUUAUCCCUUUUUUUCUGUGAAGAAAUCAACUUUUAUUGAUAUUUGUUUAAGUAAGAAGUAUUGUGCAUAAUUGAGGAUGAUGAAAGAAGAUUAAAUCCUCUCAUGAACUGUGGUAAAAGAUCAUGCUCUUUACUUAAACUCAUGUUGCACUGAAGCGGAAGCAGCCAUUGAAAAAAGGCCUGAUGGUUCAAGUCUGUCUAGGCAUCUAUUGAUGUACUCAUUGAGGAAAGGAACCACUUGAAUGCAAAUCUUUGAGGGCAAAGCACCUACAGAGCCUUCCAAAAGUAUUAUCAAUUCACAUUUUUCACACCUUCUCAUGGUACAUAAACACAUUACAAUGUUUAAAUUGAACUAAAUGUACAUAAUUGUGAACUGGAAAAGCAGAUGAACUGGAAAGAAAAAUAUUUAACCAAAUAAACAUCUGUAAAUUGGGGAGUGCAUUUGUGUUCAGAUAAUACUUAGUCAUUAAUUUUAGUACAGCAUUUCACUUAAAUCAUAUUUCCAAGUCAUAAAAUUAAUUAUUAAUUUAUUUAUCUUUUGAAACCUACUAACUCGGGGUGGAAGCAUUAAAACUUUUAUGACAAGCCAGAUAUUCUAUUUGUAUUUAUUUUAGGAUUUUAUCAUUCAACACACGUGGCUUGGUCACAUGACUUUGACCUAGCCACUCUAUUGUAGCUUUGGCUAUGUGAGGUUGUUGUUCUGUUGAAAGAUGAACAUCAAGCUCAGUCUCAGGUCUUUUCAAUAACAGCAUGUGGUUCCUCCUGGAUGAACAUGUGGCUCAUUGUGAACGAAUCCUGCAGUUAAGUUAAAAACUUGAUGUAAUCCGCUAAGUUUCCUUUGACAACUUUUAACCAAUCUGACGGUAUGGUCUGAUUGAAUUGUCACUGUAAAAUGGCUUGAGAUCAUACGUGUUGUGAAUUGGUGUUACAUAAAAUUUGAAUUGAAAUUGAAUUGUGAGGUUUCACAAUUCAAUUUCUUGGAUCAAGACCAAAAUAGUCAGUUUUGGUCACAAUAACCACAGCAAUAUUUCUCGAUUUGUUUUAGAUUUUAGAUUUAGAAGAACACAACUGAACUUGAAAUUCUUAUAAAGAUGUUUUACUCUUUCUCUGAAGAGCUUUCAUAGUUUAGAGCCAGAAAGGGGGAAGUUUCAAGCUUUAGACUCUUUUGAAAAUCCAUUCUAAAUAUUUGAGUUUACAAUCAUCUUAGACAACCCUAUACAAUCAAGCAUUGUAUUAUUAACCCCUGAAGAAGUAUGUGUAUUUGUUUGACAUUGACUGAGCAACAGGCUCUAAACUGGGCUGUGUGAUUUUGAAAGAUGAAAUCUGAGUCCUCGACACUGUUUAGAGUCUAUUUCUCUCUUUUGACAUAAAUGACAUUAUAUCCUUUUUAAAACAUUCUAUUUGUAGAUGCAGAGUUUAGGCUUCUCCUGAGAGUCUGGCUUUUCACUGAUGAGCCAUACUUCUAUGGAUAGCCAAAUUUAGUUUCCCCAAUAGAGUUCUGGGCAUUCGUGGUUGCACUAACUGCAUUGGUCCUUGAGAUAACAUUGGCUCUGUCUGAGGGUUUGGAUGGUUCUCAAGCAGAUCAGUAUGUUUUGUUUGGAGAAAAGUCCUCUGUUUCAGAAGUGAUUGCUGUACAAUCUGAGAAAGACUGCAUGUCAUUUGGAAACAUGCAGAAUGGCUCUUCCCCAAACAGCUUGAGGCUUGGAGCUACUCCUUCACCAUCUCUAAACCAGCUGUUUGGACAGAAAGAACCUUUCUUCAAUAAUCGAAUUUAAAAUACAGUCAUGUAUUUCAAACAUUUUGAAUUUGCCAUGCCCUGAAAGAAAUGGGAAAUUAACCUUCAGCUUAUGGCAAAGAGCAAGUGAGCCUCCCUCCCUGUAAAAAAAAGCUUACUUUUGCCACUUUCCUAUAAAAAACAGAUUACCGUAGUAGAGUGCAAAAUGAUAGUCGUCAUGAACGCCCUUAUUUGUGCUGUGGUUCUAUGCAACUCCCUCAUGGUUUGUAAGCAUGUAACUUACAGCUGCACCAUAAGUUAAGACCAGCAAUAUACCUAUAUCAUUUGUUCCACACUUAGAAUGUACUAAUUAGGUAUUAAUUGCUCAAAGAUUUUAGAUAACACGUCUGGAAAGAACAGAUAGUUAG